rnacentral:lncRNA from 1 species
AUGACAUCAUAGACGUCGCACCUGCCGCAACCUGACGUCCAAUUGCCUGAGGUAUGUGAUAAGACAGUCGGAUUUUCAUGGAACCGACGUCUACUAGGCUGCAAUUAAUGCUACCCAUCAAAUUCCCAGGAGAUUAGACGUCGGCUAGAAAGGGCACCGACGUCGCCCCAUUUUCAUUUUAAAUAGACCGCAGACUCUUCUCAAAAUUCAGUUUCAAUCGCGUCUUUAUCUCUUCUCCUUUUUCUCUGCUUCUCCUCUACUGUUUAUCUCUUGCUGCAUUGCGUUGUCGUUUCUCAUAACGUCAUUGGCUUCAUCCUCUCCUUUUUCUCUCUUGCAUCCCAAGUUCGUGGUUUUUUUUAUGCUACCCG